rnacentral:rRNA from 1 species
UACGAAGGGGGCUAGCGUUGUUCGGAAUUACUGGGCGUAAAGCGUAUGCAGGCGGAUCGUUAAGUCGGGGGUGAAAUCCCGAGGCUCAACCUCGGAACUGCCUUCGAUACUGGCGAUCUUGAGUCCGGGAGAGGUGAGUGGAACUCCUAGUGUAGAGGUGGAAUUCGUAGAUAUUAGGAAGAACACCAGUGGCGAAGGCGGCUCACUGGUCCGGUACUGACGCUGAGGUGCGAAAGCGUGGGGAGCAAACAGG